rnacentral:rRNA from 1 species
UACGUAGGGUGCGAGCGUUAAUCGGAAUUACUGGGCGUAAAGCGUGCGCAGGCGGUGAUGUAAGACAGGUGUGAAAUCCCCGGGCUCAACCUGGGAACUGCAUUUGUGACUGCAUCGCUGGAGUGCGGCAGAGGGGGAUGGAAUUCCGCGUGUAGCAGUGAAAUGCGUAGAUAUGCGGAGGAACACCGAUGGCGAAGGCGGCGAUCUGGGUCGAUACUGACGCUGAGGUGCGAAAACGUGGGGAGCAAAC